ACGUAGGGGGCGAACGUUGUCCGGAUUUAUUGGGCGUAAAGAGCUCGUAGGCGGCUCAGCAAGUCGGCCGUGAAAGUCCGGGGCUCAACCCCGGGAUGCCGGUCGAUACUGCUGUGGCUAGGGUCCGGUAGAGGAGAGUGGAAUUCCCGGUGUAGCGGUGAAAUGCGCAGAUAUCGGGAGGAACACCAGUAGCGAAGGCGGCUCUCUGGGCCGGUACCGACGCUGAGGAGCGAAAGCUAGGGGAGCGAACAGGA
rnacentral:rRNA from 1 species